GGAACACUGAGAACCUGAAUGGGAAAUUAAGAAGAACCAGAUUAUUUCUAUUCUUCCACCAGCCAAGUUUUGAAGAUUUGUUUUGAAUCUUGAAGAGAGAGCAGCAAGCCUUUUGGCCUAUGGAUUCCAAGAGUCACAUUCCAACAGGUGAUAUCAAAAGGACAAGGAAGCAGGGAGAGGUGACUUGCACGGAAGGUGCCCAGCGAGAUGUCUGGGCACGGAAGGUGCCCAGCAAAGCAUUUGUACCCCUCUUAUCCACAAGAGAAGUCCCUCCGGGUAUUUCAGAUGAUACCUGAAAGGAUGAUAAGGCAGGGAAUCAGAGGCUGACACCACUAUUGGAUGGACUGGGGGAGUGAAGAUCAAAAGGUCAUUUUCAGGAAAAAAAUAAAUUAGGAAGUACUGGGAUAAGACAGAAGCCAUCACCAAUAACUCCACAUCUACAGCUCCAAAGCAUGCGAUUCAGAAGGAUCCUUGUUGAUAUUGGCCAUCACCUUGUGUCACAAUACCAGUGGCCGCAGAGAUUUAAAUAAAUGCAUCCCAGAUACAGAGUUAAAAGCAUGCCAACAAUGAGGGCUGUGUGGUUUGGAGAAGAGCAGAAGAGCACACUGCUUUCAGUCAGGCAGAGGCAGAUUAGAUUGCCUGCCACCUCCAGUGGGAUGGUGGCUCCGGACAGGUCACUCACCUUCUCUAAAACCCACCU
rnacentral:lncRNA from 1 species